AAGUCAGUUCAGUGAGUCCAGGAGAGAGAUUCAAAGAACUCCACUCCUGAUGGGACUAAUAGAAGAUACACAGGGCUGGGGCAGGGAGGAGCGGGGGAUGAUGAAACUUUAGGAAAUCCUAUGGAUGUGGGAAAGCAGAAGCUUGAGGAGAGCACCUGCCAUAGAAUGGGGCUCCAGAAGUAAGGCUACUCGAGUUAAUCUAACAUGAGAUUGAAGGACAACUGAUGGACCAGACAGUGAGUUCCAUCGAUAUCCAAACAAUAUCAAGAAAUCUAAAAGAAACUCCCUGUCCCUCUUCCACUACCACCCUACCUCUGCGCAUUAUGUCCUGAGAUGCUUUAUGGAAGCUUUACUUGAGAUAAUGGACAAGAGUCACUUUGCAUAAUAAGGAUGGAACCCAUUAUAAAAAUUCUAGAAGAAAAAACAGUGGACUUGAGUCAAGAAAACUUGUUGCUAGAACCAAUCUACUUAAUGAUCGUGUGAUCUGAGGGGAAGGUCCCCAGCACAGUAAACUGGACCGUGUUGAUUCCCAUCAACAAGCAUUUAUUAUGGACUUAAUGUGUCAGAAUUGUGCUAGCCAUGGGAAAUGCCAUGCCAUCAAAGAUGAAGCACAUCCUUCUGUCAGUCAGUAAACAUCAAAAGUGGAAAGUGG